AUAUUUGACUAGAAAUCAAGAUUUGAUUGGCUGAAGUUUUUCUCAAAUGAUUUUCAAGAUAUUUUUUUUGAGGGAUAUUUUUUUGCUCACAAGAUACUGAUUGAAGGUGAAAAAUGGCUAACAACAAUGAGCAACCAGCUCCGACAACUUCAUCUUUUGAGGAAACGAAAAUCUGGAUCCGAGCAAGCUGAGAUUGACAUUUUUUAUGACACCCAUACAAGUGGCACACAAUGAAUGAGCUAAUGCAGCAAGGCAGCGAAGCAUGAGCUACACCACCGAUUGAGGUAGAGGUAUGUGCUCAAUUUUUGAAGAAAAAGUAAAGACGGCGUCGUGCUACAACCAUUGAUUCUAACACUGAAGGACUUCAUGCUAUGUUACAAGCGCAGGAUGAUAGAAUUCAAGCUCAGAAUGAGGUUAUCAAAAUGCUAAAAGAAGAUAAAGAAAAGUUCACAAGAAACAUACACAUUUUGAUGGGAACCCUCGGGCUAAACAACAUCACCGUUAGCAGAACCAAUGGAAGUUGAAUGCUGCACCACAAAGUCAAUUGUUAUAUUAUUGUUUUAGUUUUUUUUUAACUAGUCUCAGUGAUUAUUUAUUUAUUGGUAGAGUUUAUUUAGAUUUUUUUUAGUUUGGAUCUUGUUUAAACAAUUUAUUUUAAUGGCUAAUUAUGUUUUGUUCAA